AACGCACAUUGCGCCCGCCGGUAUUCUGGCGGGCACGCCUGUCCGAGCGUCAUUUCCAACCCUCGGAGCCCCUCGCGGGCUCCGGUGUUGGGGCGCGCGGAGCGCUUAUCGCAGCGCUUCGCGGCUCCGAAAACCAGCGGUGGCCGCCCUGGGGACCCCCCUGCGCAGUAGCACAUCUCGCACCGGGACCCGCGGCAGAGCCGCCGGGCUGCAAGCCCGCCUAGCGUCCUCGCGGACCUCAAGGUUGACCUCGGAUCAGGUGGGAAUACCCGCUGAACUUAA
rnacentral:misc_RNA from 1 species